UACGUAGGGUGCAAGCGUUAAUCGGAAUUACUGGGCGUAAAGCGUGCGCAGGCGGUGAUGUAAGACAGUUGUGAAAUCCCCGGGCUCAACCUGGGAACUGCAUCUGUGACUGCAUCGCUGGAGUGCGGCAGAGGGGGAUGGAAUUCCGCGUGUAGCAGUGAAAUGCGUAGAUAUGCGGAGGAACACCGAUGGCGAAGGCAGCCCCCUGGGCUGACACUGACGCUCAGGCACGAAAGCGUGGGGAGCAAACAGG
rnacentral:rRNA from 1 species